AAGGAUUUAAGUUAAAAAUCAAACUGUUAGCCUUCAAAGCUAGAAAUAGGGAAAAUUCCUAAGCCUUA
rnacentral:tRNA from 1 species